rnacentral:rRNA from 1 species
UGGGGAAUAUUGCACAAUGGGCGCAAGCCUGAUGCAGCCAUGCCGCGUGUGUGAAGAAGGCCUUCGGGUUGUAAAGCACUUUCAGCGAGGAGGAAGGUGGUGAGCUUAAUACGCUCAUCAAUUGACGUUACUCGCAGAAGAAGCACCGGCUAACUCCGUGCCAGCAGCCGCGGUAAUACGGAGGGUGCAAGCGUUAAUCGGAAUUACUGGGCGUAAAGCGCACGCAGGCGGUUUGUUAAGUCAGAUGUGAAAUCCCCGGGCUCAACCUGGGAACUGCAUUUGAAACUGGCAAGCUAGAGUCUCGUAGAGGGGGGUAGAAUUCCAGGUGUAGCGGUGAAAUGCGUAGAGAUCUGGAGGAAUACCGGUGGCGAAAGCGGCCCCCCUGGACGAAGACUGACGCUCAGGUGCGAAAGCGUGGGGCAGCAAACAGGAUUAGAUACCCUGGUAGUCCAGCGCUGUAAACGAUGUCGAUUUGGAGGUUGUGCCCUUGAGGCGUGGCUUCCGGAGCUAACGCGUUAAAUCGACCGCCUGGGGAGUACGGCCGCAAGGUUAAAACUUAAAUGAAUUGAC